rnacentral:misc_RNA from 1 species
AAGACUAUAGACCUGCGGAGUACCUGCGGAAGGAUCAUUGACGUAUCUAUGAUGGGGUGCGGAGCGCCCUGCUCCGGUCGAACGGCCGUGCAGCGGGUGCGCCGCCCCCGUCCCACCUCACAAACCCACUGUGAACAUUCACCGGUGGAGGGGGCUCGGUCUGCGCCGUGUCCCCGAUGCCGAAUACCCAAACUCCAGUUGCAAAGAACGUCGUGCGGACUCGGUGCCGCCUAAAACAUG